UUUCUGUCCCGCCUCUAUUCACGUGCUCUGGCUAGCGGGUUUCGGAGGGGCGUCCUUUCCUCUCCCUCACGAUUACUCGUCUCUCUCCCCCCACCCCGCUCCCUCCUACGUCGUCCCAGGGAGUGGGCGCCGGACGAGAGAGUCGCCUUCCCCGCCAACCAGAGCAAGGCGCGCAGGCAAGGCUUUGGACUCUCCCUCACUUCCUUCCACGGCAAGAAGGCGCCGCCGUUGCUCUCCGUCCCUCGGCUUGUUCGGGGUCUCGCUCCGCCACUCCGAGAGAAGCCCCUGCAUGCUGCAGAAGUAGGUGGUGGCGGCCAGGGCGACUGCCCCGCUGCUUUCCCUUCGUCUCCUUGCCUCGCCGCACACCUCCUUGGCGCGCUUGCCUGCCGGCAACCACAGCCCAGACGCGCAGCGGAGGGGAGAGGCGAGGCGCGCACCCCGGACCCUCGGAGGAAACAAUGAACAGCGCGAAAAACGAGCAGGAGCACAGCCCGCCCGAGCCAAACCUGCAGGAGGAAGAGGUACGGACACUCUUUGUCAGCGGUCUGCCUCUGGACAUCAAACCCCGGGAGCUCUACCUGUUGUUCAGACCAUUCAAGGGUUAUGAAGGCUCUCUUAUUAAACUCACAUCUAAGCAGCCUGUGGGUUUUGUUAGUUUUGACAGUCGCUCAGAAGCAGAAGCUGCUAAGAAUGCUUUGAAUGGAAUCCGCUUUGACCCAGAAAUCCCUCAGACGCUCCGACUAGAGUUCGCCAAGGCCAACACGAAGAUGGCCAAGAGCAAAUUAGUGGGAACACCAAAUCCAAGCACUCCUGCAACCCCCAAUACUUUACCUCAGUUCAUUACCAGGGAGUCAUAUGCGCUGGCUCCCACCCUCAGAGGCUACUUCUCAGGGCUGGAAGUCCCGUCAGUUCUGCUGAAUACUGUGUACCAGGUGUGUGAUGGCGGCUACAAUCUGUCUUGUGGGUAUUAAUGUGUUCUUCCUACAUCGCUACUGGUAUCUUACCUCCAUCUUCAGAAUUGCAGUGUGGUGGGCUUGAAAAACCUCACACAAGCUUGGAUUCCUUCAAGACUUUGCCACAGCCUCUAUCACACAUCUGCUCUUUUAGAAAUAAAAUACAAAUAUUGAGUAGUAAUAAUGUUUUCCUCUUCUACACUGUAUAAAAUUGUAAGGAAGAGUGUGGAUUCCAAAAAGCACGGGUAAACAUCUGUCUUGAAAAAAAGGUAUCUUCAAACAGAGCAACAAAGACAAUAAGUAUUUUUAUACCAAGCAUUUUAAGCAGGAUGCUGUGUUGGAUCUCUGACUAUGUGCUUGACUUUUUGGAUGUGUGUAAUUGAGAUUUCUCUUUCCCUAUCCUUUUAAGCUGCAUGUUCAAGGCAUGUUUUUAAAUCUUGUUCAGAUUUUUUUUAAAGUGUAUUGUUAAAUUGGAUAGACACCUUGGUUAUCCUGGCUGGGAGCCUGAGAUGAUGUGUGUUGAAACAUAUAAAGUAUUCCUGUGGUACAUGUACAUGUUUCUCCCAAUUGUGCCAAAUUAUAUCAAGCAAGACAAUCAAAAAUGCAAAUGUCUUUAUAACUUUGGGAUCUAUUACAGUGUGCUGAACUGUAUAGGGGCAAUCUGACAGCGGGUCACACGCUAUUUUCUCUGUGGUCAUAUAUUUGGAUAUACAACUGCAUGGUGGGUGGGGUGGCAGGGGAAUUUCUUUUCCAUGGGUUUCUAGUUUGUAGUAAGUCCCUUCCCUUAAUUAUCACUGCUGAUUAUGAAUAUGGUUGCAACUGCCUCUGUUCCUUUCUUUCAGACAUUUCCCAACAUGCAGUUGUGUAACCUGUAUGAUUCUUUAGCAGAAAAGAGAAGAAAAAGCAGCUACUUGGCUGUGAGAAUCAGUCUUCAGUGGCAGAGCUAUGCAGGAAAUGGCUUCUGUAAAGCAGGUCCUUACAAUCUACUUGCUUAAAAAUAAAUAAAGAGUACAUAUGUACAUCUUUUGCAUGGCUUAGCUCCAUGUACAGGACCUUGUUGGUGGUUGUUAGGGGCAUUGACUGAAGCCCAUGAGGAUGGCUAAAGCAUUGAUUAGCAAAGCUGAAGUUCAGUUGAUGCUAAUCAAUAUGCAUGUAGAAAAACCAAAGGCUUUCGCUGAAUCCAGAUCUCUGAUGAAAGGAUCACCUUCUGUCCAAUGGCUUGCUCUGUACUGUUUUCCAUAGGAAGUACUGAACUCAGAUACAACAGUUGCCUUUAAAAAGUCUCCAAUAGCCUCCCCCAUGUGUAUGCAAGGCUGCCAUCUGUGGAUCUGCAAGAGGCAAUCUCACAUAAAGAACCAACUUGGUGCCAUUGUUGUCUUGGUUUGAUGCCUGCCUUCUGUGUAUACCAAAUAUUUGUGGGAUUCUGGAACUCAGCAGUCUUAGUGUGCUUAUUUUUGUAUAUAAGAUGGCAGUGGGCUGGAAGAACAGUUCAAGCUUGCACUGGACUAGCCCAAGGCAUUUAACUGACCUCAACUCAAGUCCUGCCCUGUCAGUGCUGAGAUGUGUGCCAGGAUCCCUUGAGGUAUUGGGAGAGAGUACCAACUUGAAACUCUUGAUUUUGCAUGUAAUCUGCUCUCUUGUUGGACAAUUGCUAAGCAACUACUUGGAUUGCUGAAGGCAAUGGGUUGGAUUAUUCACCCACCUUCUCUAGCCUGAUUCAUGCCACCCUUUUCAGAUGUGAGGUGUACGUUGAGUGAAUGCAGCCUGAACAUUCUGUCCUCUGACCUGGUAAUGAAGUUGGUUAUAUGAUAUUGCCACCAUUGGUCAACCUGCUUGGCAAUGAUACUGUAAAUCAAGAUGGGGGUCUAUAGUGAUGCAACAAGACAUUUGUUUCACAAAAAUCACAGAAGUAAAGAAUUUGAAUUGAAUUCAACUUGUCACCAAAAGAUGAUUAUGUAAGCCCUGGUAGAGCUUUGUAGCUCUCGUCAUCUUCUGGGGAGCUGAAUGAAUGUGAGAGAAGUCAAAUGAUCAUGUGGGAACUAAAAUGUAGCCGCCUGAGCCCUGCUUCAUUACUAGCAAUUGCAUUGGUAAUAUAAUCAUAGCUUUGAGGUAGCAUUGCUGCUUAUUAGAUAACUUAUUUUCCAAAGCCAGAUUUUCUCCACAGACGAAAUUACUUACCCUAAUACAGUUUGACUGAAAACAGGCUCUAAGAAUCAACCUGCACUUCCAGGUGACAAAAUGGGCACUACCUUAGUCAUUUAGACAGCUAAGCUGAUCAUGUGGAGGGAAGAGCAGGGCUCCUGUAUAAUUAUUCAUAGCUGUAGAAGAUGAAAUCUCAACAGAUGAGUUUUCCUCUCUCCUGAAUGAUAAGCUCCAAGUGCCAGAAUCUCGGUUCUUACCAGUAUCCUCCUUUGCAUCUGGUCAUAGUACAGCUAUCCUAUCACUUCCAUAACAAUAUUGGUAGGUUUGACUAUACUGGCUUGCUCAACAGGGAGACUUUUAAUACAGUGAAAUGUUUCUGAUUGGGUUUCCCCACCAAAUAUAGUUUAAUACCUUGUCCUGAGGAUAAGUGGCUUCAGUGUCUUAAUAAGAAUGCAUUAUUUUGCAGGGAGUAUAAGUGCUAGCAGAGUAUAAGUGCAAAGCAGAGGCUUUGAAAUUGCAGAAAAAAUGGGGUAGAAAAAAACCUAUCUUUAAACAAAAAUAAAUUGAAGACUUGAGAACAAAAUUAAAAUGUGACAGCAGGCGACUGAGUAAAGUAACUGUUGGUCUUUUUCAGCAAAAAAACUUGAUUUUUCUGUAUCUCCUGAUGGCAGUAGCAGAAACAAGAUGCUUCCAAAUUUUUUUGUUUUUAAAAAAUGUUAAAAGGUACUUUUCUAUUGUAAUUUUUUAAAAAUAAAGAAUGAUUACAAUUUA